rnacentral:rRNA from 1 species
GACGAACGCUGGCGGCGUGCCUAAUACAUGCAAGUCGAACGCAGUGGGGACGGGUGAGUAACACGUGGGUAACCUCCCAUCAGAGGGGAUAACACUUGGAAACAGGUGCUAAACCGAUACUGUUGCAUGAACCCGCUGUGCAUUAGCUAGUUGGUAAGGUAACGGCUCACCAAGGCCACGAUGCAUAGACGACCUGAGGUGGUGAUCGGCGACACGGGAACUGAGACAGGGCCCAGACUCCUACGGGAGGCAGCAGUAGGGAAUCGUCGGCAAUGGACGAAAGUCUGACCGAGCAACGCCGCUUGAGUGAAGAAGGUUUUCGGAUCGUAAAACUCUGUUGUUAGAGAAGCGGUAUCUAACCAGAAAGCCACGGCUAACUACGUGCCAGCAGCAGCGGUAAGAC